UUAUGUUCAAAUCCCUACAUUGACAUGAGUGUUAAUUUUUGCUCAGUUGACUGAUAGAGUUUUGGUUGAGUUAAAAGUCUGAGGAGGUUGUGAGUUAGUGGGUUAUUUGGAGAAAAAUAAGGGAUAUCUUUUAUUUUAUUUUUAUUUCUUUUUGUUCAAAAUUUUCUCUGUCUCCCAAAAGAAAAUCUAUCGUUAGUUCUUUCUCUUUUUCUCUGUAUUUUUGUUCUUUUUCCUUUUUACUAUAUCCUCCUAUUCUGUUGAACUGCCGUCAAAUCCUUGCGUGUUGGGAAUUCCGUUUUCCUUCGUUCAUCUGGUAAGUG
rnacentral:lncRNA from 1 species